UAUAUUUUAAUGUAGUUAGCAUAUAAAUUUUUGAAAUUUAUAGAAAAAGAUUAAUCUUUUAAAUAUAA
rnacentral:tRNA from 1 species